CAGAUGCNGAGCUUGCUCCCUGAUGUUAGCGGCGGACGGGUGAGUAACACGUGGGUAACCUGCCUGUAAGACUGGGAUAACUCCGGGAAACCGGGGCUAAUACCGGAUGGUUGUUUGAACCGCAUGGUUCAGACAUAAAAGGUGGCUUCGGCUACCACUUACAGAUGGACCCGCGGCGCAUUAGCUAGUUGGUGAGGUAACGGCUCACCAAGGCGACGAUGCGUAGCCGACCUGAGAGGGUGAUCGGCCACACUGGGACUGAGACACGGCCCAGACUCCUACGGGAGGCAGCAGUAGGGAAUCUUCCGCAAUGGACGAAAGUCUGACGGAGCAACGCCGCGUGAGUGAUGAAGGUUUUCGGAUCGUAAAGCUCUGUUGUUAGGGAAGAACAAGUGCCGUUCAAAUAGGGCGGCACCUUGACGGUACCUAACCAGAAAGCCACGGCUAACUACGUGCCAGCAGCCGCGGUAAUACGUAGGUGGCAAGCGUUGUCCGGAAUUAUUGGGCGUAAAGGGCUCGCAGGCGGUUUCUUAAGUCUGAUGUGAAAGCCCCCGGCUCAACCGGGGAGGGUCAUUGGAAACUGGGGAACUUGAGUGCAGAAGAGGAGAGUGGAAUUCCACGUGUAGCGGUGAAAUGCGUAGAGAUGUGGAGGAACACCAGUGGCGAAGGCGACUCUCUGGUCUGUAACUGACGCUGAGGA
rnacentral:rRNA from 1 species